CAAUGAUUUAUUUUGUGGGAUGCUGUGCAAGACGAAAUGCUGCUGCUGCUAAUCGAUCUAAAGCUUGAUUCCUGAAACUAUGCUGAUUCAUCAGUUGUUUUUUUAUCCAUAGUUUCGUAAAUUUCAUUGCUUACAAACAGCAGGCCUCAGGCCUAAAACUCUACAAUCCAAUACAGAAAACAAUUUACAACUGCUCCUCUCCCUUCUUCUAACAAUGGAAAAAACAACAACUGAUGAAUCAGCAUAGUUUCAGGAAUCAAGCUUUAGAUCGAUUAGCAGCAGCAGCAUUUCGUCUUGCACAGCAUCCCACAAAAUAAAUCAUUGACAAGACAACAAAUAAAAUCACAUUAAAGAUUGCAACCACUCUCCACUCAGUUUUCAUGUACUGUGCAACUCCAGCUUUGCAGGAAUCACAAUUAUAGCAUUUGGUAGCCCGAGAAUUUUUGUAAAGUUUACAGUCCUUGUCAGAGCUGAUUGGGUGGAAGCUCAAAUCAUAAUAUGAAGCA
rnacentral:misc_RNA from 1 species